rnacentral:rRNA from 12 species
UGUAGGGACUAAAGUACAUUGAACAGAACUUCUUCAGGUGGCCACGCUGUUCUGAUCUCAGAAGCUAAGCAGUGCUGGACCUGGUUGGUAUCUCAAUAGGAGACCAGGGAUCGCUAGAC